UACAGAGGGUGCGAGCGUUGUUCGGAAUUACUGGGCGUAAAGCGCGCGCAGGCGGCCUUUUAAGUCUGGCGGUGAAAUGCCGGGGCUCAACUCCGUGCACGCCGGGGGAUACUGGGAGGCUGGAGACAUGUAGAGGCAAGCGGAAUUCCGGGUGUAGCGGUGGAAUGCGUAGAGAUCCGGAAGAACACCUGAGGCGAAGGCGGCUUGCUGGGCAUGAUCUGACGCUGAGGCGCGAAAGCGUGGGGAGCAAACAGG
rnacentral:rRNA from 1 species